rnacentral:lncRNA from 1 species
GAGCCACCAGAGAGAGGUCAUGUAGCAGCCGAGAAGAUAGGAUUGCCAGCAUUCUCCGAUCUCUACAUGUUUGAAGAUGAUGUGUGUAUAUAAAAUAUAUAGCUGUUUGACCUUGAAAGCACACCUAAUAUGACUACAAGUUCAAUUGUAAUAGAAAGAUGUAUUUCUACAAUUUUUAAUCAUGGAGAAUUUGGGACUCAAAAGAAAACUUACUACGUAUAUGUACCAGAUGCCAAAUCUGAUGACCAUGAUUUUUGUCUCUGGGACCCACAUGGUGAAAAGUCCAUGCCAAGAAUUUGUCCUCUUAACUUUAUGAGCACAUUACAUAGAAAUCCCCUCCAUGAUGCAACUUUCCUGGGAAGCACAGAAGUGUUGACUCUAUUGACAGAGAUAGAGAUAAGUUUUGGAGAGCUGCCCCAAUACCAAUCGGUCAUGUGGCAGCAUUGGGGGAGAAGAGUUGCCCCUCACCCAUGAAUGCCUGAGGCAGAUGGAAGAGCUGGUCCUGAAGUAAUGAAAGCAUGAGAGCUGGUCUGCCCCUCAGCAGGAGCAGCACUUGGGACCCAUACACCUGAUUGGGCCACAGAGUAGAGCUGGCCCUGAAGGUGGAAGUGUGGGAUAACUAAUCCUGAGAACAUAUAUGCCUAAGAACUUGCUCUAACCCUUACUCAUUGCUGCAAGGAGCAACCUAACCUGGGUAAUAUUGGAGAGCCAACCUUGGUGGUGUUGAAGACAGGGUUGAGCUGGUGGACUGGUCAAUCCUGCAACUAUUCAAGUCUAGAGAACCACGGCUGUGUGUUGGCCUACACCAACAUCCACCCCAUUUGUGAUCUGCUGGAGUGUGGAGUAGAGUUGGUCCUUCAGACCCAAGGCUGCAGGAUCUCCAAAACACAGAGCAACAACAGGAUGUCUAGGAAGACUCCAAUUUCCCAGUGAGGGUCCAUCAUUGAUGGUAUAGAAGAGACCAGGGGCUAUGAACCAGACCAAUGAUUCUUUGAGAUGAAUGCCUGAAUGUAAAAAUAUAGGAAUAAAUGGGUUUACUCUGUUAUUCACUGUGUCACAUUGCAACUUUCAUCACAAAAAAUUUCCCCUUCUACACUUUUCCCCUUUUUCUCUUAAAUUCUAUUUUGGGGGUGGAGAUGGGUGGUAUCAGGAGGCAUAAUAUGAAAGGCAUAAACAAAAGUAUGAUGAAAUCUUAAAAAAGGAAAUUUUCUCCAUUAUAAAGCCUCUGUCUUGGAAGGAAGGUCAUUAAGCCAGACAGCAAUGAAGAUGGAGGUUUCUGUUCUGCCUGGUCCCUCAGUUGAUUAGCCCCAAAUAAGCACACAAAGACAUAAUAAUUACUAAACUUUUAGCCAAUAGCUUAUACUUCUUAUUGGCCAGCUCUCUCUUAAUUAUUAACCCAUUUCCAUUACUCUAUAUAUUGCCAUGAGGCUGUGGCUUUCCUAUAAUCCAGCCAAGUUACUCCUUCAGCAGCAUGGCAUCUCUCCUCAAGGCCUCUCUCUCCCCUCUUCCCAGUCUUCUCCUCAUCUUGUAGCUCCACCUAUACUUUCUGGCUAACUAAUGAACAAUCAGUGUUUUAUUCAUCCACCAAUAAGAUAUAAUAUAUAUAUAUGGACAUCCCCCAUCACAGGAAUUCUAUACCACAAGAAAGCUCAUUAAGACACAGAAUAUUUUAAAGGAGGGGAGUAAAAACCUUCCACCAUGCAAAGACUAUCCAUAAACUCAUGAAGUAAACAACUUGAAAGUGACAGGAACUUCUGAAGUUGCACAGAUUCCUAAGAACCUUCUCUUCAAAAGACCAUAUAAAUGUUAUGGACAAGCUGAACUGCACAGAAAAGACACAGAGCAGAAAGGUCACAUAUGAGGAACAGAGAUCAACUAAGCAUGGAAGAAGCAGAGACCAGUUAAUCUUUUAAGAAGAUGCAGACACAUGAUGAACUGCAUAGAAGAAUCUCAGAUAAGCUGAGCUACCUGAAAGAAACAAAAGAACUAAGCUUCCUGAAAGGAGCAGAGACCAGCCAAGUAGCCAGAAAAAUAAAGACUAAUUGAGCUUCAUGGAAAGUACAUUUUCCAACCCAAGAACCUCCUGGAAGUUUUGAAGUAUGCUCCAGUUUUCCAUAUUUCAUUAGUAGGCACCCAGACUUGGAAGGGAUUUUGGAGAGGCAGCCUUCUUGAAACAACAUCUGUUCCUAUGAGUGACUACACACCCACAUUUCUAUAUGAAACUCAAAUAAAACUCACUUGCUCACUU